rnacentral:rRNA from 1 species
UAGCCGUAAACGAUACUCGCUAGGUGUCGGCCACGGUGCGACCGUUGUCGGUGCCGUAGGGAAGCCGUGAAGCGAGCCGCCUGGGAAGUACGGCCGCAAGGCUGAAACUUAAAGGAAUUGGCGGGGGAGCACCACAACGGGUGGAGCUUGCGGUUUAAUUGGAUUCAACGCCGGAAAUCUUACCGGGACCGACAGCAACAUGAAGGCCAGGCUGAAGACUUUGCCGGAUUAGCUGAGAGGAGGUGCAUGGCGUAGUCGUGU